rnacentral:rRNA from 1 species
AAUGAACGCUAGCUACAUGCUUAACACAUGCAAGUCGAGGGGAAACUACAUCUAAAGCUUGCUUUUGAUGGGCGUCGACCGGCGCACGGGUGAGUAACGCGUAUCCAACCUGCCCAUCACUUGGUAAUAACCUUGCGAGAGUAAGACUAAUACCCAAUGAUAUCCCACGAAGGCAUCGGAAUGGGAUUAAAGAUUUAUCGGUGAUGGAUUGGGAUGCGUCUGAUUAGCUUGUUGGCGGGGUAACUGCCCACCUAGGCAACGAACAGUCGACGAUCUGAGAGGUAGGUCGCCGACAUUGGAACUGAGACACGCACCAAACGACUGAGGCAGGCCGCAGUGAGGAACAUUGAGCAGCGGGAGGGAACAUGAAACAGCCAAGUAGAGUGCAAGCAGACGGUCCUAUGGGUUGUAAACAGGUUUUAUGAGGGAAUAACGUGGGUAACGUGUAACUUUUUGAAUGUACCUGAUGAAUAAGGACCGGCUAAUUCCGUG